UCUAGAGCUAAUACAUGUAGGGUCUGGGUGUAACUUGUUGCACUCAGUUGCAUUUAUUAGCAAAGCCAACUGUGUGAGUAAUCAUGCGUGGUGAAUCUAGAUAACUGAGCAGAUCGUAUGGCCUUGAGCUGACGACAUUUUGAAUGAAUUUCUGCCCUAUCAACUAUGUUGGCAGUGUAGUGGACUGCCAAGGUUGUUACGGGUAACGGGGAAUCAGGGUUCGAUUCCGGAGAGGGAGCCUGAGAAACGGCUACCACAUCCAAGGAAGGCAGCAGGCGCGCAAAUUACCCAAUACAGACAAUGUGAGGUGGUGACGAAAAGUACCGGAUGGCGACAUUGUUGCCAGUCUGGAAUGAAAACAAUUUAAGCAAUUGAAUUGAGUAACGACUGGAGGGCAAGUCUGGUGCCAGCAGCCGCGGUAAUUCCAGCUCCAGUAGCGUAUCUCAAAGUUGCUGCGCUUAAAACGCUCGUAGUUGGAUCACUCACUAUGCAUUGAUGUAUUUGAUUUUAGUGAUUUGACGACAUACCUUUGGAAACAUUGGUCACUGUUGACAUAGACUAAGACAAAUAAUUCAGUCAGUGUAUAGUAAUUGCAUGUGAGGACGAUGGUUGACCUUGAGUGUGUUGACAAUUGUAUCUCACAGGGCGUGCCUUGAGUAAAUCAGAGUGCUUAAAGCAGGCGUAAGCUUGAAUGUUAUUAGCAUGGAACGAACAAUCGUGUAUGGUGUGUGCUGAUAACGACACGUGGAGUUCGCUCCCGUGCCGCGGCAUACGACACCGACUACCAAUUACGGAUGUUGGUUCCGUAUUGGGGUACUGAUUAAGAGGAGCGGUUGGGGGCAUUAGUAUUUGGCAGCGAGAGGUGAAAUUCUUAGACCUGCCAAGGACUAACAAAUGCGAAGGCAUCUGUCCAGACCGUAUCCAUUGAUCAAGAACGAAAGAGAGAGUUUCGAAUACGAUCAGAUACCGUAGUAGUUCUCUCUGUAAACUAUGCCGACCCGGGAUCAGUUUGGAGCUAUUAUUCCAAGCUCGGAGUUGGUCCCCCUGGGAAACCUAAAGUUUUUCGGUUGCGGGGGGAGUAUGGUCGCAAGGCUGAAACUUAAAGGAAUUGACGGAAGGGCACCACCAGGGGUGGAGCCUGCGGCUUAAUUUGACUCAACACGGGAAAACUUACCUGAUCAAGACAUUCAGGAGGAUAGACAGACUAAUGCUCU
rnacentral:rRNA from 1 species